rnacentral:lncRNA from 1 species
AUCUCCCAGAAAGCAGCCAUCUCCUUCGUAACCUCAACCCUUGGAUUUUCCAGGUCCUCGAUGUAAUCGCAGUUCAGACUAGUGAGGUGUUCAAACUCCAACAGUGAAAACCUCACCGGUUGUGGACCAACGAGACUCCAGAGCUCCUACUUCUUCUUGAUGUUAAGCUGGAAACUGAGCAUAUAAUGAACCAGCCUUGAAGCCCAACCAAAAUUCAGCUCCUUAAAGUUGAUGAACACUCCCAAUUUCGACUCCUUCAGAUCCUCAUAUUCGUCAGCGUUUAGAGCUUGCCUUAGUGCAGUAAAUAGCUUCGAGUCACCAAUGUGAUAAGAAAUGCUCUUCAGUGCAGGGGCUCUUCUCCUAAUGUAUACAUCCUCUGCGAGACUGCUGGUAAAUCCAUUUUCCGGCCUGCAAAACAAUAAAAAACAAGCAUCUCAAACACAUAACAAGCGCACUAUUCUAAAUACAAAUACUGGAAGACUUGCAUGUAAAUUUUAGUGAGAAGACUACUGAGACGACUUCCAGG